GGUCUGUCCCUGAAUUGAGUGAAGCUCCUCAUAUUUUGCUUUGGGUCAGAUCGCGGCGGCAGCCUUAGCAGAAACCCAUGUUUCCUUCUUCCCAGCCACAUGGGCCAACUCCUCUGGGGAAAUCCCAGCGUGUUCCUGUACUGGGUCUCCUCUCGAUGGGACAUCCCAGGAACACCUCAGCAGAGCUAUUGACCAUAGAUGAGGGCAGGAACGUGGAUCCAACAGGAAAUCAAGAGGCAUCCAGAUUUAACCCUGAUGUGCAUCUGAAGUCCAGCCGGCAGCUAAAACACACACCGAGGCAAUGUGUACAUGCAGCUGCUUUUGUCAGUGUAAACUUUGAAGACAUCGUUUCAAGUUCAGAAAUGCCCUCAGAGCUGGAUGUGUAAACUGGACAGACCUUCUGUCAGCAGCUCCGAGGAGUUUCUUCUUGAUCCUCUGGAAGCUGUUUGUCCUAUCCGACUGACUGACAGCGGCGCUCGCCUGGCCGUUGCUUGGCCUGAAUCUCUCAGCUUUGGGUCCCUGCAGCCAGCGCUCAUCCAGGACUGAUCCUAAAGAGGAGAGCUGCACAUCUGACAGGAUGGAAUUUAGACUCCUUCCUCCUUCCAGGGAUGUCCAAAGUGCUUUAGGAGUGUGUGAAUAAACAAC